UCCUUCUCCUUUCGUGAAAACGUGACCGACCCCCCUCCAAUCGCUGAAACCUCAGCCCGCUCCAACACCCACGCGAACCAGCCACCACUCGUCUGUAAGUUUGAGCCCAUCAUUGUUCGUCUGUCGUCUGGACCUGUCCGGAGCUGGAAUCAAACGCCAGACCUGAGUCAGUCGCGCCUCAAUGCUCGCAUGCCGCUAUCCGUCUGCGUUCCGAAGCCACCAGCGGUGUUUCCAGGCUGCGUUGCCAGUUUGGUUCUUCUUCAGCCACUCGUGUGCCGCCAGAUCUGCUCACGCCAAGCCACGCCGUCGGAUCUGAGCCGCGUCGCCGUUCUCUCAUAUCUACCAGUCGCUGGUCACCCGUCACUGCUCCAGUCACCGCCGUGCGCUCUACCGCGCUCUGUCGAGCGCCACUGCCGUGGCCUCACUAGAUCUUGAAAGUAGAUUAAUUGGGCUUUGGAUUCAAGUUUUGGAAAAGUUUUAAAUUUAGAAGCGAACAACUUGAAUUUGAUUCCGACAAGAAUUUUGGUGUUAGUACUUUGAGGUGAUCUUGGCCAAACCACUUUUGGGAUCUCAUUCAAAAGUUGUGGAAAGCUCGAAAUGAGUUUGUUCGCUUGAAUUAUUUUUUGGACUUUAUUUGAGGUAAGUAAUCUUACUACUGGAAACUGCCAACGGGCCAGGCACUAGAUGUAUGCUA